rnacentral:rRNA from 1 species
UACAGAGGGGGCAAGCGUUAUUCGGAAUUAUUGGGCGUAAAGGGCGCGUAGGCGGUGUUGUAAGUCAGAUGUGUAAUCCCCGAGCUUAACUUGGGAAGUGCAUCUGAGACUGCAGUGCUAGAGUGCUGGAGAGGGUGGUAGAAUUCCACGUGUAGCGGUGAAAUGCGUAGAGAUGUGGAGGAAUACCGGUGGCGAAGGCGGCCACCUGGACAGUAACUGACGCUGAGGCGCGAAAGUGUGGGUAG